GGAAAGAUGAAAAGAACUUUGAAAAGAGAGUUAAACAGUACGUGAAAUUGUUGAAAGGGAAACGAUUGAAGUCAGUCAUACCAACGGGAAAUCAACCUUUUGAGCUUUGUCUCGUGGGUUCGAAGAGUUUAAACGCCUUCGGGUUCGCGAGAUUGGGAUCUUCUGGUGUACUUUCUCGUACGGUUAGUCAACAUCGGUUUUGAAUGUCAUAAAAUGACUGGAGGAAUGUAGCUUCGAUCUCGUAUCGAAGUGUUAUAGCCUUUGGUAGAUGUGAUGUUUGAGACCGAGGAUUGCAACGGAUACCCUUCAUGGGCUAUUCGUCUGAUCUCUGAUACGUUGCCUUGACGUUGAAAGCUUGCUUAUGAUGUUAGGGUAUUACGGUCAAAAGGUUAGAACGGAUUAAAUUCGUUAAGGAUGUUGACGUAAUGACUUUAAACGACCCGUCUUGAAACACGGACCA
rnacentral:rRNA from 3 species